rnacentral:lncRNA from 1 species
GGAGAAAUUUAUGCACCAUGAAGCUUACUUAUAUCCAUUACUCACCAAUGUCUUUCAAUAAUAAGCAAGUCUCUUCCAAGAAGAGCUUGUGGUUCUGCUCCUAUGUGUGUGUGUAAACUCACAGGAUACCAGCCUAUGGAUUUUACACAAUUGAAAAUAAUGCUACCAUUAAGUUUCCAUAUCAGAUAAAUUAAAACAAUUUUAUUUCCAACUUCAACUACUGUUCAUCAACCAAGCAGAUGUUAGGAAUUUAAACUGAGAAGAGCCUGCAUUACAAAGUCAUAUUCCUCCCUAAGGCAUUAUAUUAUUUUUCCAUCUCAUCUCAGAAAAAAGUCCUUUCUUUGUUCCUAUAAGGAGCCACAUCCUAAACCAGAAUAUGGCAAGUUUGUAGCAUCAUUUUUACUGCCCUCACAUUCUAGAACCUUGGUCAUCAUCAGUAAAUGAUCAUACUACUCUCUCUUAGUAAAUGUGGGCUUUGUCUCAGAAUCUGUCAUUGCCAAUCAAACAGAUUGGUCAUACAAGAUCCAUCCUCAUUUCAAUUCCUAAGCCUAAACUCCUCUCAACCUGUGUAUUGGCCCUUCCAGUUUUUCAUUCAACAAAUCAUGACCAUUUGGCCAUAGUUAUGUGGUGUUUUGCCUCAAUUCCUUUGCUCAAAGUCUACCUUGAUUAUGCUGCUGGUUUUCCAUCUCAAGACCUAAAGGAAAAUAUAACCCUUUCUGAUGGUCAUCUUUCGUUUGGUAUUUCAGAAGCAAUAUAGUGCAAAUCUGCAGGACUUUCCCUCCCUCCUUCCCAAGGAUGUAAUGUGCCACAGUCCUAUACCAAAAGAGGGCCAUUGGUGAAAGGAGAUUUAAAAAAAAAGGGGUGGGGGAUGACAAACCAAAUGCCAUUAGAAGGCUCUAAAAGUUACUUUUAUCCAAAACACUUUCAAUUUUAGCACAUUUUUCACAUUUAAUAGUGCUUAUCCUCUGUUUACAGAGAGAAGGAAUCACCCUGACAGGUGGAUCUGUUCUUCCUCUUUGUUUUUUUUUUUGGGGUGGGCGCUGUGGGGGGUGAUGAGGGGGCGGGAAGCCAGAGGGAGAGAGAAAAUCUUAAUCAAGUUCCACAUCCAACUUGGAGCCUGAUGUGGGGCUUGAUCUCACAACCCUUAGUUUAUGACUUGAGCCAAAAUCAAGAGUCAAACACUUAACCAACGAGUCACUUAGGCACCUUUUGAUGGAACAUCCAGCUAACUCUCCAACUUCAAGAUUUAAUAAUUUGUUCACAUGCAUAUGAUCUUUCUUCUCUGAAUCUAAUAUAAUGAAACAAAUGAUUCCUCCUUUAAGUCCCCCCCAAAAAGCAGUGACAAAUAAAAGUAUUAUAUUAAAGAGGAGAGCUCUUAAGAAAGUUGCUAAUUACUUGACGGGAUGAGCACUGGGUGUUAUUCUGUAUGUUGACAAAUUGAACACCAAUAAAAAAUAAAUUAAAAUUUUUAAAAAGUUGCUAAUUAAGAGGCCGAACAACCAAAGAUAUUAACACACAAUUCACAAAAGAAAAAAUGUCCAAUAAAAUAUAAUAUUUUCAACCCAAGAAAUGCAAAUAUAAACCAUCAUUAAUUUUCUUUGUUUUGCCUAUGACUUUACCAAUGUUGAAAAAUACUGACAGGUGCUGGUGCACAAAAGUGGCGAUAUGCCACUAAUGUACUGCUGAUGCUGGAAGUCUCUUUGGUACAUACUUCCUGAAGAGCAAUUUGGCAAUAGGUGCUGCAUUCCUCUGAGUGCAAUCUGGAGAAGAGAAGCCACCUGUACUGAGGCUUACUUACACCAUGCCUAGGAUCCUGCGGGAAUAUAGAUCAGAAAGGCUCUUUACAGGAAACCAGAAGUAUAGGACCGUAAAAGAGUCACCACUGAUAUCCCAGUUCCCUGCAACACAGAAAUAAGUAGUUCUCAGGAAGAUAACCUGGAGACCGACAACUUCUCUUAGAAUUUCCGAAAGUCAGGCAAAACUCCCCUACUGGUUUAGAGAAUGGCUUCUCCUUCCUUCCUGUGUGAAUGCCUCUCAUUGGUAGAUUCUAGACAAAACUAUAAGCCCAGAGAACAUGAGAAAUACACUUUCUGGGCUUCAAGCCCCUAUGUUACAUGGUUGAACUUAAAAGGUAGCAUCAUAUUUUAGACGUUUCUAUCAUUGACUCAGUGAUUCCUCCUCUAGGAAUUUAAAAUGAAUUAAUCAAUCUGACUACAUGAUGCAUAUGCAAAUCCAUUUAUCAUGGCAUUAUUUGUAACAGAGAAAUAAUGGUAACUAUCUAAAUAUCCAUCAAGAGAGGAUUGUUAAAUCAAUGAUAGUACAUCCAUGCAACAGAAUCCCCAUGUGGGAGACAUUACUAAAGGUCAAAAAUUUCUGCUUCUCCUUAUCCUCUCAAGGUACACAGACUAGGACUAUGUCUUAGUCUUCCUGAAAUCAGGUGGUAUCACAUGCCUAGUUCUGGUCAGAUCAAGAAUAAAUUGUUUUAUUUUACUUCUAGACUAAAGCCAUAAAAAGCACUCUCUUCCCUUGCUGUAGUGACUCAGAGGUCCCAAAAGGAGAUGAGAGCCACAAUAUGGAAAAGACAUGGAUUGCUGAGUCAUUGCUUUGGGGGCACUGGACCCUCAGUCAAUGUAAGCAAGAAGUAAUCCCUGUGUCCUUAAACCACUGAGUUGAAGGGGUUAAUCUGUUAUUGUAGAAUAACCUUGCCUGUCCUGACUAAUAUAAUUUAUUAUUCACAAAAAGAUCAAUCUUUCUGUUCAUCAAAAUAGGAAAAUGGAGACAACAUAUCGUUUUGAGUAUAUUGCUUUAUAAAUGUCAAGCUUUCAAUAAAUAUCUUGACUGGAGGAAUGAACAGAUAAAAGCAGGUUGCAAAUAGUAUCUAUGCUAUUAUUCCAUUUACCUAAAAUUGUAUGAUUGUACAUAUGGUACAUAUACAAAACGUGUAGUGAAAGAUGCCUGUAAAGAUUCUCACAGGACUGUUAACUGUGGUUAUUUAGAACUAUGGGAUUUCUGACAACUUUUGCUUUAUUCUGUACAUUCUUCUAUAUAUUGCUUGAUUUUCAUAAAAUGUCCAUGUAUGAUCUCAAUAAGUUAGAUAAUAUCUGUAUAUUAAUAUUAAUGCUAAGAACAUAGUAAGCACUAGCUAUAAAUAUUAUCAUCAUUACUAACAAACGGAAAUUAUUUUAAAUAUAGGUUUCUAAAAAUUUUGAUAAACUGAAGCUUUAUUAUAUAUUCAUUGAAUUAUUAUUUUUUUUAAAAUUUCAUUUAUUUAUUCAUGAGAGACACAGAUAGAGAGAGAAGUAGAGACACAGGCAGAGGGAGAAGCAGGCUCCAUGCAGGGUGCCUGAUAUGGGACUCGAUCCCAGGUCUCCAGGACCACAACCUGGGCCGAAGGUGGUGCUAAACCGUGGAGCCACCCAGGCUGCCCUCAUUGAAUUAUUAAAAUACAGACUUCGAUGGCAUAUCCAGGCAUCCUACAGACUCUGCCCUUACCAGCAGCAUGACCUUAGCGAAUUUACCUCUUGAAGAUUACUGCUAUUCAGACAGGCUCUGGACUCAAUACCUGGGUUUGAAUUAACAUUUCUCUCUUUAGCACUAGUAUGAUUUCAAAUAAAUGACUUAAAUGUAGGGGGCCUUAGAUCCAUCAUCUGUAAAAAUGGAGCUCUAUUAUCUCCUUCCUAGGGAGGACUAAAUGAGCUAUUUUUGUCAUGGGAUACAAUAGUACAGAAGUAGAGAAGUUUAACUCUGGAGCCAGAAUGUCAGUGCUCUAAUGGCAGCUCAGUCCCUGGCUGGCUGUGCUACUCUUGGCCAUUCUCUUCAUCUCUCUAUACCUUAAUUUCCUUAUUUGGAAAAUGGGAGUGAAUAAUAGUAUCUAUUUAGAAUGUUCUUUUGAAGACUGAAUGAGUUAAUGCUCAUUGAGUUCUUAAACCAACGCCUGACACAUUUAAGCGCUUAUAAGUAAAAAUAAGUAAAUACUAUAUGUGAUGUGCUUGAAAAAGUGCCCAGCACAUAGUAAGCACUCUAUAAAUUUCAGGUGUGCAUUAACUCAGCCAGAUACAUAGUGAGUACACUACAGAAAGUACAUGCUUCUGUUAAGAUAAACUAAAAUGUUACAGAGGACAUCCUUAUUCUCUGAGAAUGUUAUAUAGAAAGUGGAUACUGCAGACAAAUCUUUCCAUUCUCUAGAAUGUUCCAGGAUACCACUU